UACGUAGGGGGCAAGCGUUGUCCGGAAUCAUUGGGCGUAAAGAGCGCGUAGGCGGUCCGGUAAGUCCGCUCUGAAAGUCCGGGGCUCAACCCCGGGAGGCGGGCGGAUACUGUCGGGCUAGAGUCCGGAAGAGGCGAGUGGAAUUCCUGGUGUAGCGGUGAAAUGCGCAGAUAUCAGGAGGAACACCGAUGGCGAAGGCAGGUCACUGGGCCGCAACUGACGCUGAGGAGCGAAAGCAUGGGGAGCGAACAGG
rnacentral:rRNA from 1 species